GACGUAGGGCGCGAGCGUUGUCCGGAUUUAUUGGGCGUAAAGAGCUCGUAGGCGGCUUGUCGCGUCGACCGUGAAAACUUGGGGCUCAACCCCAAGCCUGCGGUCGAUACGGGCAGGCUAGAGUUCGGUAGGGGAGGACUGGAAUUCCUGGUGUAGCGGUGAAAUGCGCAGAUAUCAGGAGGAACACCGGUGGCGAAGGCG
rnacentral:rRNA from 1 species